rnacentral:rRNA from 1 species
CCUACGGGUGGCAGCAGUGAGGAAUAUUGGUCAAUGGGCGUAAGCCUGAACCAGCCAAGUCGCGUGAGGGAUGAAGGUUCUAUGGAUCGUAACCCUCUUUUAUCAGGGAAUAAAGUGUGGGACGUGUCCUAUUUUGUAUGUACAUUAUGAAUAAGGAUCGGCUAACUCCGUGCCAGCAGCCGCGGUAAUACGGAGGAUCCGAGCGUUAUCCGGAUUUAUUGGGUUUAAAGGGUGCGUAGGCGGCUGUUUAAGUCAGCGGUGAAAGUCUGUGGCGCAACCAGAGAAUUGCAGUUGAAACUGGGGGGCUUGAGUAUUGUUGAGGCAGGCGGAAUGCGUGGUGUAGCGGUGAAAUGCUUAGAUAUCACGCAGAACCCCGAUUGCGAAGGCAGCCGGCCAAGCCAUGACUGACGCUGAUGCACGAAAGCGUGGGGAUCAAACAGGAUUAGAUACCCUUGUAGUC